rnacentral:rRNA from 1 species
UACGAAGGGGGCUAGCGUUGCUCGGAAUGACUGGGCGUAAAGCGCGCGUAGGCGGCUUUGUAAGUUAGAGGUGAAAGCCCAGGGCUCAACCCUGGAAUUGCCUUUAAGACUGCAUCGCUUGAACAUCGGAGAGGUAAGUGGAAUUCCGAGUGUAGAGGUGAAAUUCGUAGAUAUUCGGAAGAACACCAGUGGCGAAGGCGACUUACUGGACGAUUGUUGACGCUGAGGUGCGAAAGCGUGGGGAGCAAACAGG